rnacentral:lncRNA from 1 species
ACAUGGAAAAGGUUGUUUGGAAGCAAAUGGAAAAGACAAACCAGAAAUACAUUUCAUAUUUGCAAAAGGAGUAUGAGCAAGUCUUAAGUGCCAAAUAUAAUUCAUGUCAGAUGUAAGAUCAGUAUUACAGAUGGAAUUAUAUAUAUGUGAAGGCAAUGGAACAGCCUUGUUAUCAGACAAAAUGUCAUCAUGAGAAGAAACAGACAUAGAAGGCAAUGCAACAACCUUGCUAUCAGACAAAGGGUCAUCAUUACAAGAAGCAGAUACAGAACAAAUAGAAGUAGAGGAACAACUAACAGAGGAAGAAGGGGAAGGAGGAACCCAAGCCAGUUUAUAUAAUCUAGUAGCUUCUUUACCAAGAUCCAGAGGCCUCCUCAGAGAAGGGUCCUGUAUCA